rnacentral:rRNA from 1 species
AGGGUUUGAUCCUGGCUCAGGAUGAACGCUAGCGGCAGGCUUAACACAUGCAAGUCGAGGGGUAGAGGUUGCUUGCAACCUUGAGACCGGCGCACGGGUGCGUAACGCGUAUGCAACCUACCUUUUACAGAGGGAUAGCCCAGAGAAAUUUGGAUUAAUACCUCAUGGUAUAUAUUAUUCGCAUGUUUGAUAUAUUAAAGUUCCAACGGUAAAAGAUGGGCAUGCGUCCUAUUAGCUAGAUGGUAAGGUAACGGCUUACCAUGGCAACGAUAGGUAGGGGUCCUGAGAGGGAGAUCCCCCACACUGGUACUGAGACACGGACCAGACUCCUACGGGAGGCAGCAGUGAGGAAUAUUGGACAAUGGGCGCAAGCCUGAUCCAGCCAUGCCGCGUGCAGGAAGAAGCAUCUAUGGUGUGUAAACUGCUUUUGUACGGGAAGAAACACUCCUUCGUGAAGGAGCUUGACGGUACCGUAAGAAUAAGGAUCGGCUAACUCCGUGCCAGCAGCCGCGGUAAUACGGAAGGAUCCAAGCGUUAUCCGGAAUCCUUGGGUUUAAAGGGUCC